AGGUGCUAAUACCGAAUACCAUCGGAAUGUCGCAUGGCAUACCGAUGAAAGGCGGCCUCUGCUUGCAAGCUGUCGCUGAAAGAUGGUCUCGCGUCCCAUUAGCUAGUUGGUGGGGUAAUGGCCCACCAAGGCGACGAUGGGUAGCCGGCCUUAGCGGGUGACCGGCCACACUGGGACUGAGAUACGGCCCAGACUCCUACGGGAGGCAGCAGUCGAGAGGCAUCCACAAUGGGGGAAACCCUGAUGGUGCGACGCCGCGUGGGUGAUGAAGGUUCUCGGAUCGUAAAACCCUUUCAGUAAGGACGAAGGUUGUGACCGUUAAUAAGCGGUCACUGGAAGACGGUACUUACAUAAGAAGCUCUGGCUAACUCCGUGCCAGCAGCCGCGGUAAGACGGGGGGAGCAAGCGUUGUUCGGAUUUACUGGGCGUAAAGGGCGUCUAGGCGGGAUGGACAGUCAGAUGUGAAAUCCCACGGGUCAACCGUGGGGAUUGCCUUUGAUACUGCCAUCCUUGAGUACGGAAGAGGAAAGCGGAAUUCCUGGGUGUAGCGCGUGAAGUGCGUAGAUAU
rnacentral:rRNA from 1 species